AGGAUGCUGGCCCUCUGUAAAGAUCUGCAGCAUGGUGCAAGCUAUCAACAUUACUACAAGACUGGGCUGUUACUGAGAAUAGCAGAGGUGUACGUUUGUAUAACAACCCCUACUGCCACAUCUCUGCACAUAGAAGCCAGGACAAAUGGCGAGGAGCACCUUGGAGAUGAGAAGUCAGUGGUGGAACUACUUUGGGUGCAUUUAGCUUUCUUUAUUCAGUCACUCCAGGAGUUUCUAGGGAGCUGGAAGGGAAGCCCAUACACAGUGUGGCUGAAACCAUCGGGAACAGUUUUUUACAAAGGAGCAAAAGUCACAGAGCCACAGUCUUUCCCCCUCUACCAGUGUCUGCACAGUCUACACAAGGGAACCAGUGUCAAGUUCAAAGAUGGUGGAGACACCAACCUUCAGCUGGACCUAGAGGUGUUGUUCCCAAUA